rnacentral:lncRNA from 1 species
GAGCAGCAUAAGCCAGGCUCUAUGGAAUGUUGGGUGAGCUGCUUGAGGAACUCCAAGGCCUGUCCCACAGUCUUCCAGCCUCCGACUCUCCGGCCCUCAGCGAGGUCAGCAGUGAGCUACUUUUGGAUCUGUUGGGAUCCCUGAGCCCGUGGUCCAGGGAGACUCUGAACAGGGAGAUCUUUUGUCAUGACAUGGUUGUCUCUUGUUGUGCAAGCAAGAGUCAGGGGACAAAUGACAUUGGCUUUAGCCCCCUGCCAGCAGUACCAGGGCCUCCAGGACGGGAGGGAAGGACCAGGCUGAGGCUGGCAUAUGGGAGAGAGCGUGUGUGCGCUGGCGUUUCACCUGCUAGGGCUGCCUUCUGCUGGGCUGUCCAUCUGGCACCGAAGUCCCACUGGUUUUUUUGGUUGGUUUUUUUUUUUUUUUUUAAGGUUUUUUGGUUUUUUUUUUUUUUUCUCAUUCCUGUCUUGGGAGCUUUCCCCAACCAGCAGACUGAUCGAACACACAGGCUUCUCAGCCCACUCCCUCCAGUCAAGGUUAAGGCCUGGCAAAGGUGGAGGAAGAGAAGCUGAGGAGAAAAAGGCGAGGAGAGCCUAGGCACAGGAAGGUGACCGUGAGUAGAGUUGGGUGGUCCAGGGAUGUGGCUGGGAUCCCCUCUUCCUUCUGGAGUUCUCUUAGACAGUAAGGCUGAAGAGAAGCUUGGUACAGGAACUUCGAAGGUUUCUCAAGCUGCAGGUCAUGGCUACCGCUUCCCUCCCUCCCAGUGCUGAUUUCCUGUGGACCAGAUUCCAGCACAGUGGAGGGCCAGAGCUCAGGGAACAGACCCAGCAGCACAGCAAGUCUCCAAGGAAAGCUCUAGCAGUCUCCAGGGGACCAAAAAGAAGACCUGACGUCAUCCUGAGCACCCCCGCCAUGCAGAGUGUGUUCGCAGACUGCCAACGGGCUGGCUCCGGCCAGCAGAAGUGAACAGAGGUGGAGGUUCAGCCUGACAGCUUCUCCCCAAAGCCAUGGAGAGAAAACCUUACCACCCCCACCGCCCAGCUACUUCCAGCAAGUUGUCCAGCCUGACCCCUCUAUUUCCCCUGUUGUCUCUUAUCUGGGUCCCUGAGACCCACCCCAUCUCCAAUAAAGAACAUUGCAUACUGUGCAUCAGUGUUGCCUUGGGUGUGCCAGGCAGGGUCGGGGGCGUGCUGGGUUCUCCAUACUAGAACACCACUACUGA